AAACGCGCACCGCCUCCGACUCGCCCCAAAACUGGCCUCUGCAUAUUGUAUCUCACGAGACCUUACCCCUCGGAGGUGAAGGCAUAGGAAGAGAAGACACAUUCCGUCCAAAGAUCUCGAGGAUGGAAUUUUAAUUGCCAUUGAUCCAAGACUGCCAAGAAAGCCUUUCUGGGGUUCGGUUGGAGGAGUUAUUUAAGUGAGUUUGCUUGAAUAUCUCUUAAGUAAAGCCUGUAUGGUCUGUUAACUCAAGAUUUAAAUCAGUACCUUCGAGCUCCAUAGUCACAAUUUUGGAAAGAUUCCCCCACUUCCUUCUUUUUCCUAAGAAAACUCUCAGGGAUGGAACAAUGAUGACAGCAAUGAACUUGAUUUCAGAAUGUCAAGGUUCUGGUUUUGACGCUGUGUAGGUCCCAAUUUUCUUGCCUAUACAGUGAAAGUACUUGUACCACUUGGUUUCUGAAGCUCCUUCUGGUUCCAGGUUUCUGUAAGGGGUAAACGAUUUUCGUGACUCUAUAAACAGUAUUUAACAUGUAUGGCAGUAAAAAGGAAGACUCUGUUUCCUGUUCUCCAGCAUUUAUUUCUCUCACCCCUUGUUAAGUUGGUCAUCAAACUGAAAGGCUUUAGUGUUCUUUCAUUGUAGGAAGUGGCUACGGGAUUGUUUCUAAGUAUAUUAACGGUAACGUCUCUCUUCUAAA